CUACGAUUCGACUGAUUAUAUUUACAUAAAUAACCUGAGUCUAUGGGCCUGAAGUUGACCAUUGGGAACACUUCAACCCCGAACCAAAAUUUAUUUGUUUGAACAUAAACCAAUUUAAUUUAAGUAUUUACAUAGCGAUAAUUUUCCACGAGAAAAUUGUUCGAUAAUUGUUCGAUAGUCUUUCUUGACAAUUUGUUCUUGAACAGCCCUUGCAUAACAUUAGUUAGUACCCAUACAAUGCACCAGAUACCAGGAACAUGAACGGGUGGGUGGGUGGAAAUUUUCUUUCUCUGUAACAAGACAUUGCUCUUUGUUGGGAUAUUUGUCAAAGUGAACUCCCUUAUCACAUUGACCUUUGUUCUGCGUGUUCGUUGUUGACAUAUGACAACCUCGUACCCAGGGCUAGUUGGACAUAUGAUUGGUCAGUUGAUCUUUCAUUCGGUUUACACAUGCCCAGAGAAACAUUUGAACUUUGGACUAUUGGAUAUCGCCUUUUUGUGGCUGUUGACAAGCUUAUCCUGUUACUAUGAGAUUAUAACCAGGUUUGAAGGUGACAAACGUGUUGUCUCAUUAACUUGAAUUUAUAUAUUGUUAUAUAUAAAUUUGCUUUAAUUGUA